rnacentral:rRNA from 1 species
GAUGAACGCUGGCGGCGUGCCUAAUACAUGCAAGUCGAGCGAACAGACGAGGAGCUUGCUCCUCUGACGUUAGCGGCGGACGGGUGAGUAACACGUGGAUAACCUACCUAUAAGACUGGGAUAACUUCGGGAAACCGGAGCUAAUACCGGAUAAUAUAUUGAACCGCAUGGUUCAAUAGUGAAAGACGGUUUUGCUGUCACUUAUAGAUGGAUCCGCGCCGCAUUAGCUAGUUGGUAAGGUAACGGCUUACCAAGGCAACGAUGCGUAGCCGACCUGAGAGGGUGAUAGGCCACACGGGAGCUGAGACACGGUCCAGGCUCCUACGGGAGGCAGCAGUAGGGAAUCUUCCGCAAUGGGCGGAAGCCUGACGGAGCAACGCCGCGUGAGUGAUGAAGGUCUUCGGAUCGUAAAACUCUGUUAUUAGGGAAGAACAAAUGUGUAAGUAACUAUGCACGUCUUGACGGUACCUAAUCAGAAAGCCCCGGCUAACUACGUG